AUCAUGGCUCAGGAUGAACGCUAGCGGCAGGCUUAACACAUGCAAGUCGAGGGGCAGCAUGACACGGAGAUUCGUCGAAGUGUCGAUGGCGACCGGCGCACGGGUGAGUAACGCGUAUCCAACCUGCCCAUUACUCUGGGAUAGCCUUGCGAAAGUAAGAUUAAUACCGGAUGUUGUUAAAAACCCGCAUGAGUUUUUAGCCAAAGAUUUAUUGGUAAUGGAUGGGGAUGCGUGACAUUAGGUAGUAGGUGAGGUAACGGCUCACCUAGCCGACGAUGUCUAGGGGUUCUGAGAGGAAGGUCCCCCACACUGGAACUGAGACACGGUCCAGACUCCUACGGGAGGCAGCAGUGAGGAAUAUUGGUCAAUGGACGAGAGUCUGAACCAGCCAAGUAGCGUGCAGGAUGACGGCCCUCUGGGUUGUAAACUGCUUUUAGUUGGGAAUAAAAAGAGGGACGUGUCCCUAAUUGUAUGUACCAUCAGAAAAAGGACCGGCUAAUUCCGUG
rnacentral:rRNA from 1 species